GUUUUUGUUCACUUAGAAUCCAUAUUUUAUUUGUUUCUGGUUAUAAAAAGAUAUGUUUUUAUUAAUUGAGGCUUUCCGAUCGUUAAGCCGAUUAUUUUACCUUGGUACACAUUGAACGAGGAAUUAUUUUUUCAUGUUCGGCCUUCUCAGCAUUACAAAGCAAUAAUUGUCGAUUUAUUGCCAGUUAGUGAUUUGAAUUAUUCGAAAAAUUAGUAUUUUUUUGUUUUAAUUUAUAGCAGCAUUGGUUUUAUUCUUUUGAAAGUUUUUUUAACGAACUAACGAACAUCAAAACUAGAGUCAGAAUUUCUACUUGUGCCCAAUGAAGAAAUCGUCCAUUAAGUUGUCUUUCAGAAUAAAAUUCCAAUUAUUUAUUUGAAAAUUAUUGUCACUUCUGAACUUUUGUUUUCUAUUUUUUUUUUAAUUUCGAAUCAUUAUCCACUUCUAGAGGGUGAUACAACAGGGUUGGACCAACUUUCGUAUGUUCGAUAAAAGACGUUCAGUAAAGCUUAAAAUGAAGCCAGAUUUUUUUCCAAGCGACUUGAAUUUUAAUGUUCGAUAUAUUUUUUAUUUGUUUUCUUUAGCAACCGUUUCAAUUGUUCUUUUUUUGUUUCCAACUUAUUUAUUGUUCAAUUUGCGAGUUUAUCAAAUGUUUGGAACAUCAUAAAACAUUAAUUGGUGAUCUAUUUAAUGGUGUAAGAUCUAUCGUUCUGCCAAGUAAAAACUUAAACUAAGUCUAAUUUUAAAUAGGUAUAUCUCGUGGGUGGUGGUAAUAAGAAUGGUGUGUUCACUCUCAUGAUUUUCGGCAAAAUUGUCAACUGGAAUGAGAUGACACGGAUGCGUUCUUUUUCAACAUUGGCCGUUAGAUGGAGCUUUUGAUCUUUGAAAUUUGUUAUAAAAAAUUUUUACUUUAAAAAUGCUGGGUUAUGAACAGUUUCAUGACAGUAGUUAUAACAUCAUAACCGUCAAGAAAUAAAAAGUAAUCGUUUUCUUUAAGCAAUAAUGUUGUAUUACGUAACAAAAAAUACAAGAAAAUGCUUGAGAUACACAGAAGAGUAUGACAGAGAUAUUAGACAAACCCAUGUGCUUAUAUAAAUACACCCAAAACCAACGAUAUUUGGGAGUGAGUUCUGCAAGCUUUGUGGAGGGUUGGGUCGCUUGAGGGUCAAUCAUCAUAAAUGCUUUAAUCAGAUUUUCUCAUGGAUAAUCAGAAAUGACGGAAGAUGUGAUAUGUUAGUCCUUUUGAAAUAAUUUUGCCUUUUAUUGUUACAGACAUGGUCUGGACAUGCUAAAUAAUUUACUACACACUUGUAGCAAAACAGAGCUAUAGGAAAUGUUAUUUAAUUUAGAAUCUAACAAAAAUUGUACUUCUAAGAAACGCAGCAGUAUUAAAAGACGCGUAACUGAGUUGAAACCUACUGAAUUAUGAUCACACAUUGGAGUAAGGAUCUGUAAAAGAUAUUUGCUGAUGAUAAGUUUCAGGCUCGACUUUUUUCAUACAAAGUUUUUGUAAUUUUGUUAAUGUAUUUGUUAUUUGUAAUGUAUACAACCCAUAAAACACAUGAGGUGCAAACAUAGCGCUAUCAUCCGACAAAUAGUGACAAGAGAACGCGUCGAUGUCAUUUAACUUGAGUUUAAAACAAAUGAGUAGAGUGCCUGCACCAUUCUAUUACCAUCACAUCUCGUGAAAAAAGGCUCUAAUACAGGAACUUUUAACACAGUUUGAUGUCCUUGAUCACUAUCUAAGAGACUGUACAAGAGUUUUGAUUUACCCUGUAUUUAAAUAUAUAUUUAAUUUAAUCUUUUAAUUGUAAUUGUUAUAAAACUUGAAUAAUCUUAAAGUUUAAUGUUUUUCUU